CAGUAGCCGCGGUAAUACGUAGGUGGCAAGCGUUGUCCGGAAUUAUUGGGCGUAAAGGGCUCGCAGGCGGUUUCUUAAGUCUGAUGUGAAAGCCACCGGCUCAACCGGGGAGGGUCAUUGGAAACUGGGAAACUUGAGUGCAGAAGAGGAGAGUGGAAUUCCACGUGUAGCGGUGAAAUGCGUAGAGAUGUGGAGGAACACCAGUGGCGAAGGCGACUCUCUGGUCUGUAACUGACGCUGAGGAGCGAAAGCGUGGGGAGCGAACAGGAUUAGAUACCCGUGUAGUCCCUGUCUCUUAUAC
rnacentral:rRNA from 1 species